UUUCCAAGACUCCUACGGGAGGCAGCAGUGGGGAAUAUUGCACAAUGGGCGGAAGCCUGAUGCAGCAACGCCGCGUGCGGGAUGACGGCCUUCGGGUUGUAAACCGCUUUCGCCUGUGACGAAGCGUGAGUGACGGUAAUGGGUAAAGAAGCACCGGCUAACUACGUGCCAGCAGCCGCGGUGAUACGUAGGGUGCGAGCGUUGUCCGGAUUUAUUGGGCGUAAAGGGCUCGUAGGUGGUUGAUCGCGUCGGAAGUGUAAUCUUGGGGCUUAACCCUGAGCGUGCUUUCGAUACGGGUUGACUUGAGGAAGGUAGGGGAGAAUGGAAUUCCUGGUGGAGCGGUGGAAUGCGCAGAUAUCAGGAGGAACACCAGUGGCGAAGGCGGUUCUCUGGGCCUUUCCUGACGCUGAGGAGCGAAAGCGUGGGGAGCGAACAGGCUUAGAUACCCUGGUAGUCCACGCUGUAAACGGUGGGUACUAGGUGUGGGGUCCAUUCCACGGGUUCCGUGCCGUAGCUAACGCUUUAAGUACCCCGCCUGGGGAGUACGGCCGCAAGGCUAAAACUCAAAGGAAUUGACGGGGGCCCGCACAAG
rnacentral:rRNA from 1 species